UGAUGUAAUGUAAUUCAAUUAUAAAUAAAACAAAAAUAAAACACGUUAGUGUAGGAUAAAUAAAUAACAAAUAAAGCAAUUCGGGUGACCACUAGGGGUUCGGAGUGGCUCUACCUAGGGUGGGCUCCUAGGUCUCUCUAUAUGUGGUUUGGUUCUAGAGUAAGGGUACCUGAACCAACAGAUUCCUCGAUCCUCACCCAUUAUAGGCUCAUUUGAAUCGAGUUCAAUUCAGGGGAAUACAUU
rnacentral:lncRNA from 1 species